rnacentral:rRNA from 1 species
CAGUCGCCGCGGUAAUACGGAGGGUGCAAGCGUUAAUCGGAAUUACUGGGCGUAAAGCGUGCGUAGGCGGUUUGUUAAGUCUGCUGUGAAAUCCCCGGGCUCAACCUGGGAAUGGCAGUGGAUACUGGCAAGCUAGAGUGUGUCAGAGGAUGGUGGAAUUCCCGGUGUAGCGGUGAAAUGCGUAGAGAUCGGGAGGAACAUCAGUGGCGAAGGCGGCCAUCUGGGACAACACUGACGCUGAGGCACGAAAGCGUGGGGAGCAAACAGGAUUAGAUACCCCGGUAGUCCCUGUCUCUUAUAC